rnacentral:rRNA from 1 species
GGACCCGCACAAGCGGUGGAGCAUGUGGUUUAAUUCGAUGCAACGCGAAAAACCUUACCUAUACUUGACAUACUUGGAAUGCUUUGUAACGAAGCAGUGCCUUCGGGAGCCAGGAUACAGGUGCUGCAUGGCUGUCGUCAGCUCGUGUCGUGAGAUGUUCCGUUAAGUCGGAUAACGAGCGCAACCCUUACCCUUAUUUGCCAGCGAUUCGGUCGGGAACUAUAAGGGGACUGCCGGUGAUAAACCGGAGGAAGGUGAGGACGACGUCAAGUCAUCAUGGCCCUUACGUAUAGGGCUACACACGUGCUACAAUGGGGAAUACAGACGGACGCUAAGCCGCGAGGUGGUG